GGUGCGGCAGCGCCAUCUGGUGCCGAGUGUCUCGCCGCCCGCGGAGGGGGCGCGCGCCUUUCGGAACCUUCCAGAGAAAACGCGGCCCCGGUUCUGCUCUGUCCCGCCCUCGGGAAGGGAGCGACCAGAGGCUCCGCCCUGCCGAGUUCCCGCGCAGGAGGAAAGCUUGGAAGAAAAAAAGGAACAUGUUACUAGCACCUUUCAUUUUUUCAAUCAGUGGGAAUUCUCCUGGUGGAUGAUUGUCAUGUGCAGCUCAGGAGACCCUGGAAGAUUUAAGGUCUAAGCUCAAUAUGACCUCCUCGAGGGGCGUUUUUCCGGCAGUCUUAUGACCACCACCACCCCACCUCAAGGCCUGCUCCAGCCUCAGGCUCCUCAGGUAGGAGUUAUCCUUUUGUAUGUGCAUAUAUGUACAAUAUACAUAUUUCUUUAGUACCUUUAUUUCAUCCAUUUAUGUUUAUCUUUGCUUCUUAGUAUUAGAUAUAAGCUCUAUGAACAGCAUCAGCUGUAGAUUUUUCAUCUUUGAUUCCCCAACAUUCUAUAUAGGGAUUGGCACAUAGUAGAGAUUUCACAAUUGAAUAAAUGAGCAAAUUAACCAAUGUAGGUUGUUGGUAAAUUUCCACAUGAGUGCAGAAGUGCAACAGCCAGGAGGAGGACCAGGAAUUGGUUCCCAGGACUGCUGCCAUGCAUUUCGCUCAGGUUUUAAGUCUUGAGGGAAAUGCUGCCACUGGGCCCCCUGAGAGAUUUGCAGUGAUAAUGCUUGAAAAUGGACAACUUACUGGAAGCAGAGGUUCUUAGUGCAGAAGAAUUUAAGGAAGUUAAUGAUGCCACCUACUCCUGGUCCAUGCUGGCCAUACUCCUGGCCUGCCUUUGCACCUACUCUUCUUCCCCGCUGUUCUAUUUAAACUUACCCCACUCUGUCCCACUUUCAUGCUUUAUUUUUUCCAUAGCAAUUAUCACUGUGUAUUCUAAUUACUUACUUACUGCCUGUCUUCCCCCUCCCCAUCGGAAUCUAAACUCUGAUUGCAUAUAGUCUGCUUUUCUCCAGCUCUAUAUCAGUGCUAAAAAUAGUCCCUGGGAGUAGUAGCUGCUCAAUAAAUAUUGUGGAAGGAAGGGAGAGAGAGAGGGAGGGAAGGAAGAGAGAGGGGGGUUGAAAGAAAAAAAGAAUGUUAGGAAA
rnacentral:lncRNA from 9 species